rnacentral:rRNA from 1 species
UCAGGACGAACGCUGGCGGCAUGCUUAACACAUGCAAGUCGAACGAACUUGAUUCCUUCGGGAUGAAAAGUUAGUGGCGGACGGGUGAGUAAUGUAUGAGCAAUCUGCCCUUUCAUCGGGAUAACAUAGGGAAACUUAUGCUAAUACCGAAUAUGACCACGGUAUCGCAUGGUACUGCGGUGAAAGCUCCGGCGGAAAAGGAUGAGCUCAUAUCCUAUUAGUUAGUUGGUGAGAUAACAGCCCACCAAGACAGCGAUGGGUAGCCGAGCUGAGAGGCUGAUCGGCCACAUUGGGACUGAAACACGGCCCAGACUUCUACGGAAGGCAGCAGUGGGGAAUAUUGGUCAAUGGAGGCAACUCUGAACCAAGCAAUGCCGCGUGAGUGAUGAAAAUCUUACGAUUGUAAAGCUCUAAACUUAGAGACGAUAAUGACGGUAUCUAAGGAUAAGCCCCGGCUAACUACGUGCCAGCCGCCGC